rnacentral:rRNA from 1 species
CGGGUACAGCAGACUACACAUGCAGUCGAGCGGUAGCACAGAGAGCUUGCUCUCGGGUGACGAGCGGCGGACGGGUGAGUAAUGUCUGGGAAACUGCCUGAUGGAGGGGGAUAACUACUGGAAACGGUAGCUAAUACCGCAUAACGUCGCAAGACCAAAGAGGGGGACCUUCGGGCCUCUUGCCAUCAGAUGUGCCCAGAUGGGAUUAGCUAGUAGGUGGGGUAACGGCUCACCUAGGCGACGAUCCCUAGCUGGUCUGAGAGGAUGACCAGCCACACUGGAACUGAGACACGGUCCAGACUCCUACGGGAGGCAGCAGUGGGGAAUAUUGCACAAUGGGCGCAAGCCUGAUGCAGCCAUGCCGCGUGUAUGAAGAAGGCCUUCGGGUUGUAAAGUACUUUCAGCGGGGAGGAAGGUGCUGAGGUUAAUAACCUCAGCAAUUGACGUUACCCGCAGAAGAAGCACCGGCUAACUCCGUGCCAGCAGCCGCGGUAAUACGGAGGGUGCAAGCGUUAAUCGGAAUUACUGGGCGUAAAGCGCACGCAGGCGGUCUGUCAAGUCGGAUGUGAAAUCCCCGGGCUCAACCUGGGAACUGCAUUCGAAACUGGCAGGCUAGAGUCUUGUAGAGGGGGGUAGAAUUCCAGGUGUAGCGGUGAAAUGCGUAGAGAUCUGGAGGAAUACCGGUGGCGAAGGCGGCCCCCUGGACAAAGACUGACGCUCAGGUGCGAAAGCGUGGGGAGCAAACAGGAUUAGAUACCCUGGUAGUCCACGCCGUAAACGAUGUCGACUUGGAGGUUGUGCCCUUGAGGCGUGGCUUCCGGAGCUAACGCGUUAAGUCGACCGCCUGGGGAGUACGGCCGCAAGGUUAAAACUCAAAUGAAUUGACGGGGGCCCGCACAAGCGGUGGAGCAUGUGGUUUAAUUCGAUGCAACGCGAAGAACCUUACCUACUCUUGACAUCCAGAGAACUUACCAGAGAUGCUUUGGUGCCUUCGGGAACUCUGAGACAGUGCUGCAUGGCUGUCGUCAGCUCGUGUUGUGAAAUGUUGGGUUAAGUCCCGCAACGAGCGCAACCCUUAUCCUUUGUUGCCAGCGGGUCCCGGCCGGGAA